AAGCAAUCCUGCUGCCUCAGCCUCCCGAGUAGCUGGGACUACAGAAGGAAGGAUACCUGAGACAACAGGAGACUCCAGGGGAAGAAGUUGCAGAGGACAGCUGAAAGGAGAAAGCUCCCCCCACUCUGCCCCCAGAGGCUUGGAGACCAGCGACAAGUCUGCUGAGAGACAAUUUAGCCACCACCCAGAGGCAUCUCCAGGGAACAGGACCUUUCUUUUGGGGGCCUACAGCAGACUGAGGAGUACUCAGACUGUGAGCUCCUUACCUGUCAGCCCUCCCAGGUUGUGGUUGAAUCUCACCCUAUUUGAGAUUCUAGCCACCUACUUGCUCCAAGACAAAACAGAGCAUGUCAUCCAAAGGAAAAUCUAAAGGCAAGAUGCAACAACUGAACCAGAUGGGAAGGAAUCAGCAAAAGAACUCUGGAGGUAUGAAGAAUCAAAUGGAAAGCACACCCCAAAAGAUGAACACCAGCUCUCUAGAAGUGGACAUCUACCAAAGUCAGAACCCUAAAAUGACAGAAGAAGAAUUUCGAACAUGGAUGUUUAGAACCCUGAAGGACUUGCAAGAAAAACUGGCUAACCAACACAAAGAACUUAUAAAACGAUUGCAGGACCUGGAAGAAAA